AUUAGUAUCAUUCUUAUUUACAUGGGUGAGGCGAGCACUGAACUUUGAGGUAGAGGGCAGAAGACCGACAGGAAGGCCAAGGAAGAUGUGGAGAAAGGUGGAGGAGGGAGAGAUACGAGGAGGCUGAUCGUCACGGAAGAAAUGGCUGUGGACCGGCAACAGUGGAGGCGGCUCAUAAAUGGACGUUAAGCAAUGAUGAUGAUGGUGGUUGAUAGUGGUUGAAUGGGGUGACCGGGUGAGGGAUUUGAGUUGACGAGGAUGGUUAUGGAAAGGUGCGAAUUGUUGUAUAUGUAAAGAACGAUGGGUGAUAGGAGUAGAUACGAUAUUGGAAAGGUCUGAAUUGUUGUAUAUGUAAAGAACGAUGGGUGAUAGGAGUAGAUACGAUAUUGGAAAGGUCUGAAUUGUUGUAUAUGUAAAGAACGAUGGGUGAUAGGAGUAGAUACGAUAUUGGAAAGGUCUGAAUUGUUGUAUAUGUAAAGAACGAUGGGUGAUAGGAGUAGAUACGAUAUUGGAAAGGUCUGAAUUGUUGUAUAUGUAAAGAACGAUGGGUGAUAGGAGUAGAUACGAUAUUGGAAAGGUCUGAAUUGUUGUAUAUGUAAAGAACGAUGGGUGAUAGGAGUAGAUACGAUAUUGGAAAGGUCUGAAUUGUUGUAUAUGUAAAGAACGAUGGGUGAUAGGAGUAGAUACGAUAUUGGAAAGGUCUGAAUUGUUGUAUAUGUAAAGAACGAUGGGUGAUAGGAGUAGAUACGAUAUUGGAAAGGUCUGAAUUGUUGUAUAUGUAAAGAACGAUGGGUGAUAGGAGUAGAUACGAUAUUGGAAAGGUCUGAAUUGUUGUAUAUGUAAAGAACGAUGGAUGAUAGAUGUAGAUAGGAUAUACUAGUGUUUCAACCAUCAACUCUGGGAGAAAUUGAAGACAGAGGAAUCUAUAUCACAACAAUAUGGAAUAGAAGAAAAAAGAAAACUGGACAAGACUUAAAGACACAUUAAUGCCAAAGACAAGAAUUAGGACAAAGAAAAAAAGAAUGACAGAAAAAUGAAGAAAAAUAAGAAAGAAAACAAAGACAAAUAGAGAUAAGGAAACAAAACAAACCAGAAAACAAAGAAGACACAGAAUGAGAAAAAAAACAAACAAAACAA